CUUCUCUUUGUGAUGUUGUGAGUGUUGUUGGAAGUCCUGAGGGAUCUAAAAGGGCUUUAUGAGUCUUUUGCUGACCUAGCAAAGUCUUGAUUUUUGUCUUCCAUAAGACAAAAUCUCCCUAAUUUCCAUCGAACUUCUCUAUUCCUAAUCUUGCCACUACCAUUCUCAAGCCCAAAGCAAGUAGAGGAUAGCUUGUUGUAAGGCUACGAGGAGAUGAAGUCACGUCUCUUUGUGAUGAUAGCCGUACACGUGGAUGAAGAUCACACAAACAAUUGUUGAAGACGAAGGAGAAGAAGAAGAAGGCAAGAUUUACGUGAUUCGGCUAAAGAAUGCCUACAUCCAUGGAAGGAUCACUUUCCUUGAUUUUUAAAGAUGAGUAAAAUCCUUUUGCUUGUUUUUUUUUUUUUUUUUUUUUUAUCUACUGUGAAAGAAGUAUAUGUAAAAUAUUUUUUAGAUGCACCUUUUAUAUGUACAGGUGUUUACUAAUUAGGAAGAUAAUGAUUCUAUGUUUUAGGAAGAUAACCCUGUAUCCUAAAGGAAUCUCCGAAGCAACUCCUGGAUAUCUAUCAUUGUACUUGAAAUUUGAUAGCUUCGAAGAACGUAACUUCCUCAAGGUUCUCGAGUGUACAUUGAAUUUGAUAUGGCCAUAUUGACACAACUUGGGUAGGACAACCAAAAAAAGAAUCAUGUAAAUGUUGGCUAGAGACAAUUGGGAAUGGGGUUGAUUGAAUUUCAUAUCAUUAAGCGAUCUUAAGGAACCGAAGAAGAGGUUUCUUGACAAUGAUAUUAUGAUUGUUGAGUGGGUAUUAAUGUUAUCUCUACCGUGAAAAAGUUUUUGUAGAAAGAGAAAUAGAUAUAGAAGGGGAAGUUCUUGCAGCUUUAGAUGGUGAGAACUUUGAAGGAUAUUUUGCUAUUCUAAAAUGUCAAAAGGAUAUAUGCACACAGCCUUUUGAAUUUUGCAUAUCUGAAUAAAUGUGGAAUUAUUUUGCUAUUGCAAAAGACAGAAAGAUUCACAAAUUAUGAACAUCUGAAUUUUGGAAACA